UACGUAGGGUGCGAGCGUUGUCCGGAAUUAUUGGGCGUAAAGGGCUCGUAGGCGGUUUGUCGCGUCGGGAGUGAAAUCCACUGGCUUAACUGGUGGCUUGCUUUCGAUACGGGCAGACUGGAGGUAUGCAGGGGAGAACGGAAUUCCUGGUGUAGCGGUGAAAUGCGCAGAUAUCAGGAGAACACCGGUGGCGAAGGCGGUUCUCUGGGCGU
rnacentral:rRNA from 1 species